rnacentral:lncRNA from 1 species
AAGAGAAAAUACCUCCAUUAGACUGCCCUUGCCUCCCAUGCAAACCACAGGAAAUCUCAUGAGGUCCCGGGCCACCCACACUUCUGCCCAGCUGAGCUCUGUGAGGUUACCAUGACCCCUUUAUAUUCAACAAUUCACUGGGGUGAUUCACUGAAUCCAAAGCUUUAUUAGAAGACACACUUCAAGAAGAGCCAAACAGACAUAUAAGGCACGAGGGCACCAUGCUCCACAGCCCCGCCCAGUGGUCUCAGGGAGGAAACCCUCCUGCUGCUGAGAAGACAGAAUCUAUGCCAGUUUGUGUCUGAAUAGACUUGGGGUGGACACAAGACACUGGUAACACUAGUUAUUAGCGAUAUUAGCUGUUAGUUAAGAGAAUCUAUCAAUGAAGCUGCCAGAUCACUAAAAGACCCCUGUCAGCAUUCUAUUCAGAUAGGAAUCAUGAAUAGACCAGGAGAGGCUUCCCCAUGCUGUCCUUGGUAGCUUUGCAAGCCUCAUCUCAACUUAUGAUGCAAUGGGCAGGAGAUCCAAGCAGCAGCAGAAGGUCCCUCUUAGUGCCAGUGCCAGUGGCGGUGGCCUUGGCUUUGGGAGAGCCCCAGCCUUGUGUGGGUACAAAAAGUGAGACUCCUCCAGCUCACCUCAGUGGCUGGUGUUAGAUGUCAGCUUUAGGCUAGGCUUCAGGCACCGGAGGGCCUUAGCCUGAAGGGCUGGUAGCUCUCUACAACUUUUCUAGUGACCCGUGUUUGCAGUUUUUCUUCUCUGCCUCUUUGUGGCCCUCUCUUCUUCUUUAUCCCUGGCUUUCCACCCUCUUUUGCCUUCUCUUUACCUCUGCUGUGGCUCUCGGUUUUCCUGUGCUCCUCCCCACCCCACCCCACCCUGACACACACAUUCUGGAGCUUUUCAUCUACCUCUGCUUGCUACUGAAGCUGUCAUGGUUACCACCAUUUACCACUGCUGCCUCUCCCACU